rnacentral:rRNA from 1 species
UUAAAUUGAAGAGUUUGAUCAUGGCUCAGAUUGAACGCUGGCGGCAGGCCUAACACAUGCAAGUCGAACGGUAACAGGAAACAGCUUGCUGCUUUCGCUGACGAGUGGCGGACGGGUGAGUAAUGUCUGGGAAACUGCCUGAUGGAGGGGGAUAACUACUGGAAACGGUAGCUAAUACCGCAUAACGUCGCAAGACCAAAGAGGGGGACCUUCGGGCCUCUUGCCAUCGGAUGUGCCCAGAUGGGAUUAGCUAGUAGGUGGGGUAACGGCUCACCUAGGCGACGAUCCCUAGCUGGUCUGAGAGGAUGACCAGCCACACUGGAACUGAGACACGGUCCAGACUCCUACGGGAGGCAGCAGUGGGGAAUAUUGCACAAUGGGCGCAAGCCUGAUGCAGCCAUGCCGCGUGUAUGAAGAAGGCCUCGGGUUGUAAAGUACUUUCAGCGGGGAGGAAGGGAGUAAAGUUAAUACCUUUGCUCAUUGACGUUACCCGCAGAAGAAGCACCGGCUAACUCCGUGCCAGCAGCCGCGGUAAUACGGAGGGUGCAAGCGUUAAUCGGAAUUACUGGGCGUAAAGCGCACGCAGGCGGUUUGUUAAGUCAGAUGUGAAAUCCCCGGGCUCAACCUGGGAACUGCAUCUGAUACUGGCAAGCUUGAGUCUCGUAGAGGGGGGUAGAAUUCCAGGUGUAGCGGUGAAAUGCGUAGAGAUCUGGAGGAAUACCGGUGGCGAAGGCGGCCCCCUGGACGAAGACUGACGCUCAGGUGCGAAAGCGUGGGGAGCAAACAGGAUUAGAUACCCUGGUAGUCCACGCCGUAAACGAUGUCGACUUGGAGGUUGUGCCCUUGAGGCGUGGCUUCCGGAGCUAACGCGUUAAGUCGACCGCCUGGGGAGUACGGCCGCAAGGUUAAAACUCAAAUGAAUUGACGGGGGCCCGCACAAGCGGUGGAGCAUGUGGUUUAAUUCGAUGCAACGCGAAGAACCUUACCUGGUCUUGACAUCCACGGAAGUUUUCAGAGAUGAGAAUGUGCCUUCGGGAACCGUGAGACAGGUGCUGCAUGGCUGUCGUCAGCUCGUGUUGUGAAAUGUUGGGUUAAGUCCCGCAACGAGCGCAACCCUUAUCCUUUGUUGCCAGCGGUCCGGCCGGGAACUCAAAGGAGACUGCCAGUGAUAAACUGGAGGAAGGUGGGGAUGACGUCAAGUCAUCAUGGCCCUUACGACCAGGGCUACACACGUGCUACAAUGGCGCAUACAAAGAGAAGCGACCUCGCGAGAGCAAGCGGACCUCAUAAAGUGCGUCGUAGUCCGGAUUGGAGUCUGCAACUCGACUCCAUGAAGUCGGAAUCGCUAGUAAUCGUGGAUCAGAAUGCCACGGUGAAUACGUUCCCGGGCCUUGUACACACCGCCCGUCACACCAUGGGAGUGGGUUGCAAAAGAAGUAGGUAGCUUAACCUUCGGGAGGGCGCUUACCACUUUGUGAUUCAUGACUGGGGUGAAGUCGUAACAAGGUAACCGUAGGGGAACCUGCGGUUGGAUCACCUCCUUACCUUAAAGAAGC